UACGGGGGGAGCAAGCGUUGUUCGGAUUUACUGGGCGUAAAGGGCGCGUAGGCGGCCACCGCAGGCCAAUUGUGAAAUCUCCGGGCUUAACUCGGAAAGGUCAACUGAUACUGCGGGGCUAGAGUGCGGAAGGGGCAACUGGAAUUCCCGGUGUAGUGGUGAAAUGCGUAGAUAUCGGGAGGAACACCAGUGGCGAAGGCGACUACCUGGCCUGUUUCUUGACGCUGAGGCGCGAAAGCUAGGGGAGCAAACGGG
rnacentral:rRNA from 1 species